CGCCAGCCCGCUCAGAAACUCAAUGAAUUGACGGGGCCCGCACAAGCGGUGGAGUAUGUGGUUUAAUUCGAUGCAACGCGAAGAACCUUACCUGGUCUUGACAUCCCGGAGACCCUUAGGAAACUAGGGGGUGCUUCCAUCUGGAAGAAUCUGGAGACAGGUGCUGCAUGGCUGUCGUCAGCUCGUGUCGUGAGAUGUUGGGUUAAGUCCCGCAACGAGCGCAACCCUUGCCUUUAGUUGCCAGCAGUUCGGCUGGGCACUCUAAAGGGACUGCCGGUGUUAAACCGGAGGAAGGUGGGGAUGACGUCAAGUCCUCAUGGCCUUUAUGACCAGGGCUACACACGUACUACAAUGGCCGAUACAAAGGGCAGCGACACUGCGAGGUGAAGCCAAUCCCGUAAAAUCGGUCUCAGUCCGGAUUGGAGUCUGCAACUCGACUCCAUGAAGUUGGAAUCGCUAGUAAUCGUGGAUCAGCAUGCCACGGUGAAUACGUUCCCGGGCCUU
rnacentral:rRNA from 1 species